rnacentral:tRNA from 1 species
UUUAUGUUAGCUUAAAUUUUUAAAAAAGCAAAGCUUUGAAGAAGCUUAGAUCAAUAUUUUUUUUGAUAU